GCAACGAGCGCAACCCUUAUCUUUAAUUGCCAGCAUUUCAGUUGGGCACUUUAAAGAGACUGCCGGUGUUAACCGGAGAAGGUGGGGAUGACGUCAAGUCCUCAUGGCCUUUAUGCUUAGGGCUACACACGUGCUACAAUGGGUGGUACAAAGAGAAGCCAACUCGCGAGAGCGCGCCAAUCUCAAAAAGCCAUCCUCAGUUCGGAUUGGAGUCUGCAACUCGACUCCAUGAAGUUGGAAUCGCUAGUAAUCGCGGAUCAGCACGCCGCGGUGAAUACGUUCCCGGGCCUU
rnacentral:rRNA from 1 species